GGGAGUUUGGUCUAGUGGUAUGAUUCUCGCUUUGGGUGCGAGAGGCCGCGGGUUCGAUUCCCGAAACUCCCC
rnacentral:tRNA from 1 species